GUGGGGAAUAUUGGACAAUGGGCGAAAGCCUGAUCCAGCCAUGCCGCGUGUGUGAAGAAGGUCUUCGGAUUGUAAAGCACUUUAAGUUGGGAGGAAGGGCAGUAAGUUAAUACCUUGCUGUUUUGACGUUACCGACAGAAUAAGCACCGGCUAACUUCGUGCCAGCAGCCGCGGUAAUACGAAGGGUGCAAGCGUUAAUCGGAAUUACUGGGCGUAAAGCGCGCGUAGGUGGUUUUGUAAGUUGGAGGUGAAAUCCCCGGGCUAAACCUGGGAACUGCCUCCAAAACUGCAUGACUAGAGUACGGUAGAGGGUAGUGGAAUUUCCUGUGUAGCGGUGAAAUGCGUAGAUAUAGGAAGGAACACCAGUGGCGAAGGCGACUACCUGGACUGAUACUGACACUGAGGUGCGAAAGCGUGGGGAGCAAACAGGAUUAGAUACCCGUGUAGUCC
rnacentral:rRNA from 1 species